ACAAUGGUGGUUCAGUGGUAGAGUUCCUGUCUGCCAUGCAGGAGAUGUAGGUUUGAUUUCUGCCUGGUGCA
rnacentral:tRNA from 1 species